rnacentral:tRNA from 1 species
GCCCGGGUGGUGGAAUUGGUAGACACGCAGGACUUAAAAUCCUGUUACUUCGGUAGUGCGGGUUCGAUUCCCGCCCCGGGCACCA